UCACAGCUUGCGCUGGCAGUUUCGCUAGAGUCCCCGGCAUUAUCCGCUGGCAACUAGCAAUAGGGGUUGCGCUCGUUAUGGGACUUAACCCGACACCUCACGGCACGAGCUGACGACAACCAUGCAGCACCUUGCUGGCCGCCCCGAAGGGAAGUCCGGUUUCCCGGACGGUCGUCCAACAUUUAAGCCCUGGUAAGGUUCCUCGCGUAUCAUCGAAUUAAACCACAUGCUCCACCGCUUGUGCGGGCCCCCGUCAAUUCCUUUGAGUUUCAAUCUUGCGACCGUACUCCCCAGGUGGAUUACUUAAUGCUUUCGCUUAGUCGCUGACAGUGUAUCGCCAACAACGAGUAAUCAUCGUUUACGGCGUGGACUAC
rnacentral:misc_RNA from 1 species